AACCUCCGCAAUGUGAGAAAUCGCGACGGGGGGAUCCCAAGUGCCAUUCUUAACGGGAUGGCUUUUCAUUAGUGUAAAGAGCUUUUGGAAUAAGGGCUGGGCAAGACCGGUGCCAGCCGCCGCGGUAACACCGGCAGCUCUAGUGGUAGCAGUUUUUAUUGGGCCUAAAGCGUCCGUAGCCGGUUUAAUAAGUCUCUGGUGAAAUCCUGUAGCUUAACUGUGGGAAUUGCUGGAGAUACUAUUAGACUUGAGACCGGGAGAGGUUAGAGGUACUCCCAGGGUAGAGGUGAAAUUCUGUAAUCCUGGGAGGACCGCCUGUUGCGAAGGCGUCUAACUGGAACGGUUCUGACGGUGAGGGACGAAAGUUAGGGGCGCGAAACCGGAUUAGAUACCCGGGUAGUCCUAACUGUAAACGAUGCGGACUUGGUGUUGGGUGGCUUUGGGCUGCUCCAGUGCCGAAGGGAAGCUGUUAAGUCCGCCGCCUGGGAAGUACGGUCGCAGAACUGAAACUUAAAGGAAAU
rnacentral:rRNA from 1 species